AUAUCAUCUUCAUCAUCUUCCAUUUCAAAUUUUUCGAUGCCGUUGAAAAAACUGAAAUCUGUUUUAACGUAUCGCCGACAACGAUGAGAAGUCUGUGUUACACAGAAUCGGAAAACGAUCCGCCCGCUCGAUUGGAUUUAAUCAACUGGAUUCUCGCGCGUGCUUUCGAGUAACACGAGGUACAGAGAAGAUUUUCGAGUAUUCGCAACAAUUAGGACUGACAAUUAAAGGAAUUGUGCCAGUUUGUCGGCGCAAAAUGCGAGACGCCGAGGGAGAAGCGGAGUCAUUCGAAGUUUACUAACAGAAUUAGUAUUUCCCAGCUCAGUUCUAGACCGCCGCGAAUUCCGAGCCGCGACGCAGUCGGCGUGGAAUUAAGUUUCUUGAUAAGAGAUCGGAUGGAAAGGGUGCACUGUGUGUCGAGUCAAUUCCGCUUUUACCUUCAUUUUUACGCAGAGUAUAAGAAAGUUACGCAAGUUAAUGAAAGCUCAAAGGAUUCAGAGAAGUUGAGCUAAUGUUUUAAGAGACGAUUAAGAGAGGCAAUUAAAAGAUAAAGAAGAGAGAUCCGGUUCUUCCGGCUGCAAUUGUAGGGACGAGUGGUUUGAUAUCGAAUCGUUCAGAGAAACGGAUCGGAGGAAAGAAAGCGCAGAUGAUCGGAGAAAAGGUGGCCUUUUGAAAGCGAUAGACACCUUUGUGAACGGCUCAGAAGAUUCUCUAUUGGAAGCGACUUCGGUGGUACGAGGCGACAGAUGAAAUCUGUCUGCUUGGCUCGCCUCCGUCUGGCGUGGACAUAGUUUAUAGGCUGAUAAACCGAUAAUUCAUCUGAAAGGCUCAAAGGAAAUAAAGCCAGAAGCCAAUCCAUUCAUAAAAGCUAUGUACAUACACUAUUGAGAGCAAUGUUGCCCUGAUAUUUUGAUUCAUUAUUUCUCUACAGUCCUUUAAUUAUCGAUUUAUCGUAUCGGAGUCAUAUUUCCAAUUUACAUAAGAAUUUCCUAUUACAAUUUCCUAUUUAUUUUAAAAUCUCUGUGUUAUGAAAAUAUAAUAAAUAUAAUU